UUUUCCAUUAAUGGUAUAAAAGAAAUCAAAAAUGUGUGUAGCAUGAGUUGGACAUGACUGUAACCCAAAGAUUUAAUCUGCUUGCACCAACUGAAAACAGGUGGGGAACGUCAAUGAGUAAUGUGUUUCGUUCCCUGCAAAAACAUCACCAAGGUGGGGACACUCAACCUCUGCUUGUUCUAUUGGAGCCACUUGUGAUAAACAUUACAGGACUGUGGCUGCAGCAGUGUCCACUGCUGAGACUACAGUAGGAGUGUGAAACAGGCUGACAAACAUGUUCCCUCCAUCCUCCCAUCCCUCCUUUGAUACAAAAAAUAAAAACAUUUCACAUGUAAAAUGAAAGAUUCUCCCAUUCCCACAGUCUGCACUUCAGUGACUGUUUAGACCACAAACAACUUGGGUGUGGUGGCAUGACAGACUCAUCUGUUAAACGUAAAUUCGUUGAAUCACAGAACAGAGAUGGGUCUAUUAGACUGUUAAUAAUGCGAAUGGCCUCCGUGUUUACACAGCCUCUGCUAUCUAUGCGUAAAUAUUUAGCUAACAACUGUGGAAUUUAACGUAAAGAUUUGGUAUCAGCAUGGCAGGGAGGAGAUAAUGGUGAUCUACACGUUCUCCAUGCGAGAUUGGCAGAUUAACAGUUGGAAACCCCCUGAAAUCCUCUCAAGCUGUGAAUGAAAGUUGUCCAGAAUAGAGGCAGUAUGAAAAGCGGUUGUGGAAGGACGCAAUGGAACAUGAGCGAGAGGCAAUGGACAGGUUGAUGACUACAUACAGAGAGAUGCAGGACAGCCAGAACAACCUGCUGAUGAACUGCAUUCCCCUGCCUAUACCACUACAACCAGUGUAUUCACCACUUCACCAGCACCAAGGAUCCCCAUUGUAUCACAACACCAGUUACACUACUCCAGAGAGGGACCUAAUCUUCCGCCCCUCAUCCUCUUGUCGAGGAUGAGGAUUUUCUUUUUUACCAUUGCUGACAGUUGCAUUGAAGAUGUUGAUGAUCGACAUUCUAACAUUUUUAAUAUUUUAAAACAUAACAUUUUAACUUGUAAUUAACCUGUACUUUUCUCUAUUAUAUCAAUUGAAUAGAUAUGUAUAAGUUAUGUUAUAUAUAUAUUAACUUUAUUAGACAGUGAGCGCAU